rnacentral:rRNA from 1 species
GGGCCCGCACAAGCGGUGGAGCAUGUGGUUUAAUUCGACGCAACGCGCAGAACCUUACCAACACUUGACAUGUUCGUCGCGACUUUAAGAGAUUAAAGUUUUCGGUUCGGCCGGACGAAACACAGGUGCUGCAUGGCUGUCGUCAGCUCGUGUCGUGAGAUGUUGGGUUAAGUCCCGCAACGAGCGCAACCCUCACUUUUAGUUGCCAUCAUUUAGUUGGGCACUCUGAAAGAACUGCCAGUGAUAAGCUGGAGGAAGGUGGGGAUGACGUCAAGUCCUCAUGGCCCUUACGUGUUGGGCUACACACGUGCUACAAUGGUAUUUACAACAGGAAGCAAGACGGCGACGUUAAGCAAAUCCUCAAAAAAUACCUCAGUUCGGAUUGCACUCUGCAACUCGAGUGCAUGAAGUUGGAAUUACUAGUAAUCG